rnacentral:rRNA from 1 species
GAGUUUGAUCAUGGCUCAGAACGAACGCUGGCGGCAGGCCUAACACAUGCAAGUCGAACGCCCUCUUUCGGGAGGGAGUGGCGCACGGGUGAGUAACGCGUGGGAAUCUGCCCUUUGGUUCGGAAUAACCCCGGGAAACUAGGGCUAACGCCGGAUAAGCCCGAGAGGGGAAAGUUUACGCCGAAGGAGGAGCCCGCGUCCGAUUAGCUAGUUGGUGAGGUAAGAGCUUACCAAGGCGACGAUCGGUAGCUGGUCUGAGAGGACGAUCAGCCACACUGGGACUGAGACACGGCCCAGACUCCUACGGGAGGCAGCAGUGGGGAAUAUUGGACAAUGGGCGCAAGCCUGAUCCAGCCAUGCCGCGUGAGUGAUGAAGGCCUUC